rnacentral:lncRNA from 1 species
AUGGAGAUGGAGCAGAGUAAGAGGGUGGGCCAUACGAGGCGGAGGGUUUCUCGUAGUUGGUGCUUGGUUCGUAACCGGAAGGUGAGUAGGCGAAAGAGGGUGGGUGGUAGACACCUCCGUGUCCAGGUCCAAAAGUCACUGGACCGACUCUGGUUCCAUCAGCGUUGGUGUAGGUCUCACGGUUCGGUCCCGUGUAGGGCACGUAGUUGGGUGGCGGGAAGUUGUAGCCGGCAGGGGGGUAGGUGGCAGGGAUGCCGAUGGCGGGGUAGACGCCAAGGCUGGGGCCUGCGUAGGUUGCAGCGGGGUAGUUGGCUGUGGGCACGGCGGGCGUAGUUAGCGGCAGGAACAGCGACGGCUACGGGUGCUGGGUAUGGCGCUGCAAUAGCGUACGAGCCAUGGGUUGCCGCGGCGUAGGGGGCGGCGAUGGCGUAGGUGGCGGGUGCCGAGUAGUCCACCCCUGAGGCGUAGGUGGGUGCGUAGCUGCUCACGUAGCCCGGCGAGUAGGAGGGCGUUGGUCCAUUGUGCGCGUGCUGGCUAGGCGGCCCGUACACGCUGUAGGCGGUCGUGCGCUUUUCGUGGGUCUUCGAACUGGAGGAGGAUGCCGCCUCAGCUUUGUUGUCGCUGUUGGAGGAGGGCCGGUCGGCGAGGACUGACGUGGCCAGGAGUCCAAAUAUAACCUGGAAUCAGAAAACGAAAGGCAUGGAUUUAGAAAUCAUUGAUUAAAUUAGUCUUCCGGCAACAGCAUUCAAAGGAACAAACAUUGAUCUCUCUCGAAGCAAUUAAAGUAACAUUCACUGCAAAUAUUCAGAUUAAUGCAUGCGUUAUGAACACACCAUCUUACAAAUAAAACAUGCGCAGGAAAUUGUUUUAGGUGUUUUAAUGCCGAAAGCUUUCUAUUAUUAUGCAUUAUUGCCUAAGGAUAUUCGUUCGUUUAACAGAUAUUUUCCUUAGGAAGCUCCAUAUUGACAGUGAAACUGCAACUCGCUGAAACUCGGUUGCACGAUUUCGAAAUCUCCGCUCAUACUUCAUUUUUUUCAGGGAGAUCCAACCAACAUUAGGGCUUGAAAUGUUUAACAGAAUAUCCAUCGAUUAAUUAAAGAAUGAGAAUCACAGAAAUUUUCAAGAAGUGGCGUUAGGUAGUUUUCCGCGCAGAAAAUAAAGUAUGACAGAAAUGUGCAGCGCCGCAAACCGAGAUACGCAUUCCUGAAGGUUCACCAUCUAUAUAGUUUACAUUGCGAACAUUGAACACGGGAAAUUCAAGGAGAUCCCUAACAUAGCAUCAUAAAAAGUACAAUUUUUGCUGCUUUCAAGUAAAAGUCAGCAGUAUAUUCUUGAAAAUGGAGCCUUGCGAGGGAUUACAAUGAUUUGCAACCGAAUAAAGUAGAAAAAUACGGAAGAAAAUGUUCUUUGGUUUUGACAAACAUUAAGGGAGUGCAAACCUAUCUGAAAUUGUUUUAUUCGUGCUGAAUCAUAUUAAUCACUUUUAAAAAUCCGUUUCCAACGUUGGGCUGUUCAAUUAUACUCGAGAUUGGCAAAAAUCGUCUCUCCUGCAAUGAAGUAUAGGAUCUCCUUACACAUCCUUUAAACACGACGUGAACCGUAUGGAGCCUCCUAAGAAAAUAAGAUAUUUAAAGAAAAAUUGGACCGCGAUAAGCAGAAAAGAACCAAGCCAUAUCAGCUGUUGCCAAAUUUAAUUGGGCACUUUAAUUUUUUACAUGAAAACGGUUGUGCGGAUUAUCGUGCGUAUUUCAAUGAAUUUUCUGCAUCGUACAAAGCAAAUUUCUAACAAUUUUCAAAGGAAUCCGCACAGAAGAACGGUUCGCUCGUAAGAACAUCUACUGUCCGGUUAAAUUUGGCAACAGCUGAUGUGGCUUGAUUUCUUUAUGCUAAACGCGGUCCAGUCACACUGCUCAAAUUUGUUUGAGACUGGCAAAAAUCGUG